ACGUAUUGUAAUAUGUCCAUUGGACAUUUUUAAGUAUUUGAUCAGAUUAGGGGGACAGAUGGAGACAGAAGAAAGUAACAAUUCAUAUUAGAUGUUUGUUUGGGAACUUAUUGCUGUCUCCAGUCUUGCAUGUUUUCAUAGAUCUCAUUUUCAUGUACUUAUAUGAUUGUAUGCAUUGGACACACAGUAUUGAUGUAGAAACUUCACUAUGAUCUCUUGAGGUUUGUUCAACUUGCAUUUUACCUCCAUUUGCUAUCAAAAUAGGUCUAACACUUGGCCAUUUAAUAAACUGAUCCUUGAGUUUGCACUAUACUUGCUAGCUAUGUCAGUUCUUCGUUUUCCCUCACAAAAGUAAUGUUGAAUGUUUUUAUCAGCUCUAAACACUUUUUGUCCUAAGCAUCCUCUCAUGUACUCUCUCUUGUGACUUCCAGCAACCGCAAAAAGGAAAAACUGUGAUCAUCAAAUAGAACCUGAAAUUUUGAAACAGAAGGCGGGGUUAAGUGUAAAUCUACCUGAUCCUGAGUCUAUUCAAAAUCCGGUUUGUGUCUUGAACUUUCCUCCACCUUCUUUGACUUCAUUAAUUGGCUGUGAAACGUAGCAUUAUGUUUUACCACAUCUUUAUUGUCCUAUCGUGCAUUUGAUGUCACAUUUACUGCUACUGUUUUAAUCUCUUUUUUGUGUUUAAAUGAACAUAGCCUGCGACCACUAUUACAAGUCCCUUGGAAGAUCAAGAGAUGGUCCUCCUCCUUAAAGAGAAUAAAAGGCUCCAAGCAAGGUAUGUUCAAAAUGUGUCAAUUGACUUCUUCUCUAUCAUAAUUACCACCAUGGCGGUGUUAGAUUGGACGAGGAGUUUAAUAAAGAAUGAAAUUUUUUUGACACAACAUAAAUAAUAUAGAAGAAGUUUGUGUUUUUUAAUGUCAUGCCUUUUUUUCUUUUUUUGGUUUUAUUGUCAUGUCAUUAAGUGAUAAAUGAGAAUGUUUAAGUAUACGACUUGUCAAUAAUAAAAAGGUAUCACAAAAAUGAAUAUUGUUACUCCCUCGGUUUCAUUUUAUGUGUUCAUAGUUUGACUUUUGAUAGGAAAUCUUUUGAAUUUCGUGGUCUUAAACUAAGACACAUGUAGUAUACAAAGUGUCAUUUGAAUCAUGUGGUCUUAAACAUGUUUUAUGAGAUAUUGUAAUCAAAGAGUUAUUAAAAAUAAAAAGUACCAUUCUCUUUUAAACAGACCAAAAGGGAAGUAAGAUACAUAAAUUGAAACAAAUGGAAUAAAUACAUAAUGGAAUGGAAGGAGUAGCAUGAUAGAAUUCCAGACAAGGGGGGUUGCUCAGAUGGUAAGCACCCUCCACCUUCAACCCUAUGGUCAUAGGUUCGAGUCACCAAGAAAGCAAAAUGGUGGGAGCUCCCAAGGAGAGGUAUAAAAAGACUUGAUAGAAUUCCAAUUGCAGCCGAACUUUAGGAAAGGGUACAUGUACAUAAGUUCAUAAUUGUCAGUAGUUUGCAUUCUCCCAUGUGAAGAACCUCGUGGAGUUGUAACUUGUUACAUACUACCUUUUCAGAUUCUCUUUUCUGAAGUUACUUUUCAUGUGCUUUUUCUGUGUCUCAGAUGCUUGGAAAUUGAGAAGAAGGAAGAGGAAUUUAAUGCCAAGGUAAUUUUAAUAGAAUUUUUAGACCUGUUAUAUUUUGAUGUUUGAAAGACACAUGCUAUAUAUCAUUUGUAGCAGUUGAACAGCAGCAUCUAGUUUCAAGUUUUUGCUCUAGUAUAUUAUGAAAGAUCAGCUGAGAACAUGUAAAUUUUUUUUUUUAUGUAGGUAACUUUGCUAAGGAAGGAACUAAAAGAAGAACAACGUAAAUAUGCCCGCUUGCUAGUUCAAUCAGCAGUGCUGGAGAACUCCAAGAGGGAGCAUACUGUUAUAAUUGUAUAGAUAAGCUUGCUAUAUUGCUUCUAAUAUUGUUUUUGUAAAUUUAUAUUUUUGGUAUACAAAAAAAUUCCAUGAUAUGUGCUUGUUAGAAUGGAGAGCUAAUUAUCUCUCCCAUGUUGCCUGCCCUUUUUCAACUUCCGCUGGGGAGAGUUAUUUCUGUUUUUGUCAAAAUGGUAUUAGGACGAUGUUGUCUAGGUCCAACAGUAAAGUUGUAGCUAUGUGACUAGAACGUCAUGGUUCAAAGUUCAAACCCCAACCAUAGAAACAACUCUCUAUAUGAUUUGACUCUUCUCUGGUCCUUGUGCAUAGCGAGAGUUUAGUACACCAGGUAAGUCUUUAGUUGUUGUGUUCAUGUGUUAAGAGAAGAAAAGUAAAGCAAAAUUAGUGAUCUUGGAAGUCAUACAAGUAAGCUGGCUAAUUUUAUUUGGCCAAGUGAAGUAAGUCUCUGUCUAGUAUUUGUCCAGGCCAAUUUAGUACAUAUGAUUGUAUAUGAAUAUUAUUACAUCAAUGUAAAAGUUGGAACAAAAUACAACUUUAAUAUCUUGAAGGAAGUGAGAAAAAACAAAGCAUGAUUAAGAAAAAGCAAUUACUACCAAAACAACAAUUAGAAGAUAAGCUGAAGUGAGGGAAAUCUUUUUCUAUUUCCUUACCGUCCGGUGACUUUCUAACUUCUUCAUUUUCAUUCCUAGUCUUUUUCAAAUAUUUAGAAGUAUAAGCUAGAGUGAGGGAAAUCUUUUUCCCAAUAAUGACUUAAUGAUUGUUUGGUGGAAUGUAUUUGAGAAAAUAUUUGUCUAAGUUAUUCAUCCUACAAACGAUUCACUAAUUAAUUUUAAGAUACGGAGUUUUUGUGACCAAGAAAAAACAUAGUUUAGUUGUGUAUCAACAAAAAUGCAUGGAUCCAAAUAUAUAUACUCCACUAGUAAAAUUACCCUUAAUAUCACGGAAUUUAUAAAAUAAUACUUAAAACCUAUCACUCAUUAAAACUAAAACACUAUAUUAUCCUACAUAUAAGAUUACGUAGUACAAACAUUAAUAAAGUAAAGGAAAAUGAAAAUUAUUAUAUCUUAUCAUUUAUAUUAUGUAUAAAUUAAUGACAAUUAGCAAUUAGAGAAGAGAUUGUGAAAUUGAAGGAGCAAUUAUUUCUUGACGAUCCAUCACCUGCUAACAGAAGUAUUCUUCAGAUCAUGUAGAGCUGAAGGUUUAUUUACACUUUGAAGAAGAGUUUUGGAGACAAAAAGCUAGCGUGUAGUGGUUUGAGAAAGGGGAUAGGAACACUAAUUUUUUUCACAGUUUAGUGAGAGGGAGAAGAAAGAGGCUUUACAUGAGGAGAAUAAUUAAAUCUGAUGGCUCAUGGGCAGAAUCAAAAAAUGCGAUUGCAGAAGAAGGGGUUAAUUUUUUACCAAACAAUUUACUGCAGGGGUUAAUCAUUCUGACCUAUCUCUACUAAUGCAUAUUAAUCCUGUAAUCUCACAAAAGGAAAAUGAUAUAUUGACCAAGUUACCUGAUGAGGCUGAGAUCAAGAAGGUAGUAUUUGAGUUAAAUGCAGAAGGCUCUUGUGGACCAGAUGGUUUUUCUGGUUGUUUUUAUCAGAACUGUUGGGACACUGUUGGUUCAGAUGUGAUAAAAGUAGUUCAGGCUUUCUUUAAAGGAGCUACUUUACCUAAGUCUAUUACUCAUACUAACUUGGUGCUAUUACUUAAAAAGGAUUUUCCUCAAUACUUUUAUGAUCUUGGACCUAUUAGCUUGAGUAAUUUCCUUAAUAAAAUCAUAUCUAGAUUGGUGCAUAAUAGAAUGGAGGUGUUGCUUCCUAGAUUGAUAUCCCAGAAUCAAUCUGGAUUUGUCAAAGGAAGAAAUAUUACUGAAAAUGUAUUGUUGGCACAAGAAAUUGUUACUGAUAUUAGGUUGAGGGGCAAACCAGAUAAUGUGAUUAUUAAGCUUGACAUGGCAGGGUUGAUUGGAGAUUUUUUAUUAAAGUAAUGAAAAAAAUGGGUUUUAAUUAUAUGAUGCUUAACAUGAUUUGGAGAAUUAUUGCUAAUAAUUGGUACUCUGUAUUGAUUAAUGGUCAAGCACAUGGUUUUUUCCAUUCAUCAAGGGGAGUUAAACAAGAAGAUCAUUUGUCUCCUGCUUUGUUUAUACUUACUGUUGAGGUAUUAACGAGAGCUCUAAAUCAUCUAUUCCUAGAAGAGUAAUAUAAAGGAUAUGGUCUACCUAAAUGGAGUGAACAGUUGAAUCACUUAUCUUAUGCUGAUGAUACAAUUAUUUUUGCCUCUGCUGAUAGGAGUUCUCUCCAGUUGAUAAUGCACACAUUGAAAAUGUAUGAACAACAAUCAGGACAACUUAUAAACAAAGAAAAAAGUAUCUUUUACUUGUUUAACAAAACUACUCUUAGCUCUGUUCAAAUGGUGGAGGAAAUCAUAGGUUUCUGCAAAGGGAGUUUUUCUUUAACUUAUUUGGGUUGUCCUAUUUGUCAUGCUAAGAAAAAGAAUAUUCAUUUCAAAGAGCUCAUCAAGAAGAUUCAGAAUAAACUUCAAAUGUGGAAAGGGAAACUUCUAUCUUAUGGUGGAAAAAUAGUGUUGAUUAACCAUGUAUUAUAGAGUAUUCUUGUCUAUCUCUUCCCAGCUAUCACGCUUCCUAAAUGUGUCAUUGAUGAUAUUUAUAAGAUUUUUGCAAAAUUCUUGUGGAAUUCUAAAGAACAAGGAAGAGCCACUGGUAGCAUGGGGGGAUAUUUGUCUGCCCAAGGAGGAGGGAGGUUUAGGUUUUAGAUCUUUAUUUGAUGUCUCCAAAGCUUUAUUUGCUAAGCUGUGGUGGAAUUUUAGAACCAAAAAUAUCACGUGGACAAAUUUUAUGUGGAAUAAGUAUUGUAAAAGACAAAGGCCACAAUUGGUGGACUGAAAAGGAGGAUCUCAAGUCUGGAAAGCUAUGUUACAAGCUAGGGAUUUCUUUGAUCAAGAGAUCUGGUGGGAACCUAGAGAAGGACAUGCUAGUGUGUGGUUUGAUAACUGGACACAACUAGGUGCUUUGCAUUUUUUAAUGCCUAUGUCACAUAACCAAAGUCAACUGGAAGAUGUCAAGGAGCUAUAUGCUGAAGAUGGAUGGAGGAUUAAUGUCCUUUUUAUGUAGAGAUUAUGGUUUAGAAGGAUUCCUAUUGGGGAGGUCUUAAUUAGAAGGAACAUAGUGGAGAGGGUUGAUUGUAGCUGCUGCAAUAAUAGUGCUCCUGAAACUUUCUCUCAUCUAUUUGUCAAUUGUCCUAGUGUUCAAUCUGUUUGGAAAACUUUUAGAAAUGUUGCAGGGUUAUCAUUUUCAAUUAAUCAGCUUCAACAGAUUAUGGAAGAUUGGUGGAAAGCUGAUGGUAGUCCUAAAUUGAAGCAAUUGUUUAAAGUAAUUCAUGCUUUCAUAACUUGGAAAAUUUGGAAGAGGAGGAAUGUGAUGAAACAUGGUGGAAAUAUGUCAACAACCUCAAUGAUUGUAGAGAUACAUAGAAACAUCAACUUAUUUACUAAGAGUAGAUAUCCAUGGUUAAAGAAUGUCUCUCAAAACUGGCCCUUAAUUGUUAACUAUCUUAAAGGGUAUACUCAAUUGACAAAAACUAUGGUGGCCAGAUGGAGUCAUCCCCCAUGGGAGUAUAUAAAUGCAAUAUUGAUGCUUCUUAUCAGCUUGAAUCAGGAGUUGGGUGUAUAGCCUUUUGUAUUAGAAAUAUACGAGGAGAUUUGAAAUAUGCAGAAACUAGAAGAAUUAAUAUUACAUCUAUUUUGGAGGCAGAUGUCAUGGUAAUUAAGGAAGGGUUACAGUACUGCAGUCAAGGAAAUUUCCUUCCCUUGAUAAUUGAGACAGACUUACUGGUGGCUCAGAAAGUUAUACAUGGAGUAUGAGAGGUCCCAUGGCAGAUAGCUUGAGAUAUCAAACACAUUCAGACAAUGAUAAAGAGUCAUGGGUGGAGGUUGUUCACAUCCUUAGAGAAGGGAAUAGCCUCGCUGAUGCUUUAACUAAGUUGUUUGCUCAUUUUGCAGGUACAGAGAGACAACAAUAUCGAAAUAUGCAGGAACUACCACAACAGGCCAAAGCUAUUUUGCAACAAGACAAAGAAAAGACUCCUUAUUUGAGGAUCCAGAAAGUUCAAAACAAACAUUAUAAUGGUGCUUAAAAAAGAAAAAAGAGCAACACAUCAGUUCAAAGCAAAUCAGGAGAGGACUAAAAUAAGAAGGUGAAAGAUUACCUUAGUCUCCUGGAAAAGGGUGAGUGGUGCAAUGUCGGAGAUUAGUCGACUUAAACAGUGGUAUUAAUUUUGGUGGGGUUUAACCUGUUGAGGAGAAUAAUCAAGGACUGAGUAUCAAAACAUAUCUCAAAGAUGAGUAAUUAAAUUAUAAAGGUAAAACUCAUCUCAAUAGAUCUUGUCUUCAAAUCUGGAUGGUGACUGAAGCGUGUCCCCAAAAUUCUUGCGCAUAACUUGAGAUCUAGCUCAGAUCGAUAAA
rnacentral:lncRNA from 1 species